CCUCCUGCUCUGCCGCCGCCGAAUCUCCGGAGACCAUCUACAGGGGCCCGAUCAGAAAGACAGACACCGAUUACAGCUCUAAACUCCUGGAGGGGGGCUCGGCUCCGGGCGCCGGCCGCUGCGAGCCUCCCGCAUUACGUGCGCUGGAGCCGCCUCAUGUCGCCGGGGCUGACCGGACUGCCACAGGCAGGAUCACAACGAGGAGAGGGGGCUACAGCGCAUGCGCGGCCAGCACACCGAGCUCAACUGCUACAACACUGCCCCUAGCGGCCGGCUCCGCGUAACUGCACCGCUCGGCGCUGCGAGCUGAGGAAGGAGAGGGAAAGAGGCGUGGUGUAACACUUGAAGUGGGCGUGGUGACAUGUGACGUAGCAUUGGAACCCUCAGACAUGCAAGGAUUCGAAGCAUAGAAUGCACACAACAACUUCCUUACUCAGGACCCAGUUUUUAAUACUACUGAGAAGUUUAUUAAUGAAGAGUUCCAUUACCUACAUUGCUGAAAUUCUGACAUUCUUCAUUUCAAGAAAAAGUUGGGAGAAUGUUUGGACACUGAAUAGCUUUUACUUAGUGACCAUAUUUUGUUCUGUUUAAGAACACAGAUUUUGCAAAUCAGUUGUCAUCCUACAACAAUUUACAGUUUAAUGAAUAGAUCCUCGUAUGUAGGAAUGAACCUCUGAUUCAGAUGCGAUUUGUAACAAGUAUAAUUGGGGCUCAAUGUGUUUUGCAUAUGUUGUUCCAUCUGACUAUGCUUUCAAAGUUAUUGCAAAUAGAUACUGCCUUAAUAGUGCAGUCUUAAUGACUACCCAGGAACAAACGUGCCACUGGUUUUCCUGAUUUUGCUUUGGACAAAAUAAUUAUGGAAACACCACC